UGGUGAUCCUGGCAUGGUGAUAUGCUCCA
rnacentral:piRNA from 1 species